GCUUGUCUCAAAGAUUAAGCCAUGCAUGUCUAAGUGUAAAUACGUCUACACUGUGAAACUGCGAAUGGCUCAUUAAAUCAGUUAUCGUUUAUUUGAUGAUCUCUUACUACUUGGAUAACCGUAGUAAUUCUAGAGCUAAUACAUGCACAAAAUCCCGACUUACGAAGGGAUGUAUUUAUUAGAUACAAACCAACAUCGUGGUGAUUCAUAAUAACUGAGCGAAUCGCAUGGCCUUGCGCCGGCGAUGGUUCAUUCAAGUUUCUGCCCUAUCAGCUUUCGAUGGUAGGGUAUUGGCCUACCAUGGCGUUAACGGGUAACGGAGAAUUAGGGUUCGAUUCCGGAGAGGGAGCCUGAGAAACGGCUACCACAUCCAAGGAAGGCAGCAGG
rnacentral:rRNA from 1 species